GAGUACGUGAAACUGCUUAGAGGUUAAACCCGAUGAACCUGAAUAUCCGUUAUGGAAAAUUCAUCAUUAAUACUAUGUUAUUUUAUUAUUAUCAUAGAUAUAGUGUGCAAUUUUUCCAUAUAAGGACAUUGUAAUCUGUUAAUGUAAUAAAUAUUUAUUAAAAGAUCUAUUACUUGAGUUUAUUCAAAUUAAUUAUUUUCGGAUUUUUAACAUAGAAUAAUUGUUUUAGAUUUAAUAAAUCAUUGACAGAUUUAAUUAUAUAAAGUGCUUAAAUUUCUUUGAAAUUUUACAAUAUUAAAUAUAUCUACGAUUUAAUUAUUAUUGUAUGCAUUUUUAUGAUUAACAAUGCGAUAGAUUCAGGAUACCUUCGGGACCCGUCUUGAAACACGGACCAAGGAGUCUAACAUAUGUGCAAGUCAUUGGGUAUUUUAAAUGAAACCUAUUGGCAUAAUUAACUUAACUGUUUAAUUGGGAUUAGUUUAUAUUUUAUUAUGAAAUAUUAAUUCAAUCCCGGGGCGUUCUAUAUAGUUAUACAUAAUAAUAUUUAUAUUAUUUAUGCCUCUAACUAGAGCGUACCUUGAGCAUAUAUGCUGUGACCCGAAA
rnacentral:rRNA from 1 species